ensembl:lncRNA
CCCUUUCCCUAUACAACUGACUAGGUAUCGCCCCUUUCCCUAUACAACUGACUAGGUAUCACCCCUUUUCCCUAUACAACUGACUAGGUAUCACCCCUUUUCCCUAUACAACUGACUAGGUAUCACCCCUUUUCCCUAUACAACUGACUAGGUAUCACCCCUUUUCCCUAUACAACUGACUAGGUAUCCCCCCUUUCCCUAUACAACUGACUAGGUAUCCCCCCUUUCCCUAUACAACUGACUAGGUAUCCCACCUUUCCCUAUACAACUGACUAGAGCUGUGUUCGAAUACCCAUACUAACAUAAUGUAUACUACAAACUGACUAGGUAUCCCCCCUUUCCCUAUACAACUGACUAGGUAUCCCCCCUUUCCCUAUACAACUGACUAG